rnacentral:rRNA from 1 species
CAGUCGCCGCGGUAAUACGAAGGGGGCUAGCGUUGUUCGGAAUUACUGGGCGUAAAGCGCGUGUAGGCGGGCUUUUAAGUCAGGGGUGUAAUGCCAAGGCUCAACCUUGGAACUGCCUUUGAUACUGGAAGUCUUGAGUCCGGGAGAGGUGAGUGGAACUGCGAGUGUAGAGGUGAAAUUCGUAGAUAUUCGCAAGAACACCAGUGGCGAAGGCGGCUCACUGGCCCGGAACUGACGCUGAGACGCGAAAGCGUGGGGAGCAAACAGGAUUAGAUACCCCCGUAGUCCCUGUCUCUUAUAC